rnacentral:rRNA from 1 species
GUAUCUGCCCUUUGGCCUGGAAUAACACGAGGAAACUUGUGCUAAUACCGGAUAAGUCUUUACGGAGAAAGCUUUAUGCACCAUUGGAUGAGCCUGCACUUGAUUAGUUUGUUGGUGGGGUAAUGGCCUACCAAGACUGUGAUCAAUAGCUGAUUUGAGAGGAUGAUCAGCCACAUUGGGACUGAGACACGGCCCAAACUCCUACGGGAGGCAGCAGUGGGGAAUCUUGCACAAUGGAGGAAACUCUGAUGCAGCGAUGCCGCGUGAGUGAAGAAGGCCCUUGGGUUGUAAAGCUCUUUCGUCGGGGAAGAAAAUGACUGUACCCGAAUAAGAAGGUCCGGCUAACUUCGUGCCAGCAGCCGCGGUAAUACGAAGGGACCUAGCGUAGUUCGGAAUUACUGGGCUUAAAGAGUUCGUAGGUGGUUGAAAAAGUUGGUGGUGAAAUCCCAGAGCUUAACUCUGGAACUGCCAUCAAAACUUUUCAGCUAGAGUUUGAUAGAGGAAAGCAGAAUUUCUAGUGUAGAGGUGAAAUUCGUAGAUAUUAGAAAGAAUACCGAUUGCGAAGGCAGCUUUCUGGAUCAUUACUGACACUGAGGAACGAAAGCAUGGGUAGCGAAGAGGAUUAGAUACCCUCGUAGUCCAUGCCGUAAACGAUGUGUGUUAGACGUUGGGAAUUUAUUUUCAGUGUCGCAGCGAAAGCGAUAA